GACGAACGCUGGCGGCGUGCUUAACACAUGCAAGUCGAACGGAAAGGCCCUGCUUUUGUGGGGUGCUCGAGUGGCGAACGGGUGAGUAACACGUGAGUAACCUGCCCUUGACUUUGGGAUAACUUCAGGAAACUGGGGCUAAUACCGGAUAGGAGCUCCUGCUGCAUGGUGGGGGUUGGAAAGUUUCGGCGGUUGGGGAUGGACUCGCGGCUUAUCAGCUUGUUGGUGGGGUAGUGGCUUACCAAGGCUUUGACGGGUAGCCGGCCUGAGAGGGUGACCGGCAGCAGUGGGACUGAGAGACGGCAGAGACGCCGACGGGGGGGAGCAGGGGGGGAGAGGGAACAAGGGGGGGAAGCCUGAUGACGCAACGCCGUGUGCGGGAGGAGGGGCGACGGGUGGGAGACCGAGGGCGCCGGUGACGAAGGGGGAGGGACGGGAAGGGGUAAAGAAGAAAAGGCUAACUACGGG
rnacentral:rRNA from 1 species